AGUGAACGCUGGCGGUAGGCCUAACACAUGCAAGUCGAACGGCAGCACAGUAAGAGCUUGCUCUUACGGGUGGCGAGUGGCGGACGGGUGAGGAAUACAUCGGAAUCUACUUUUUCGUGGGGGAUGACGUAGGGAAACUUACGCUAAUACCGCAUAUGACCUACGGGUGAAAGCAGGGGAUCUUCGGACCUUGCGCGAUUGAAUGAGCCGAUGUCGGAUUAGCUAGUUGGCGGGGUAAAGGCCCACCAAGGCGACGAUCCGUAGCUGGUCUGAGAGGAUGAUCAGCCACACUGGAGCUGAGACACGGUCCAGGCUCCUACGGGAGGCAGCAGUGGGGAAUGUUGGACAAUGGGCGCAAGCCUGAUCCAACCAUACCGCGUGGGUGAAGAAGGCCUUCGGGUUGUAAAGCCCUUUUGUUGGGAAAGAAAAGCAGCAGGUUAAUACCCCGCUGUUCUGACGGUACCCAAAGAAUAAGCACCGGCUAACUUCGUG
rnacentral:rRNA from 1 species